AUGGCAUCAACAGGGCACACAAGCGAUAUUAUUUGUUGUAGUUGUAAGGGAAGAGGACAUUUUGUGAGAGAAUGCCAAUCUCAGCCUGUGAUGAUUGCUACUGAGGAUGGUGGGUAUGAGUCCGCUAGUGACUAUGAUGAGGAGACUUUGGCUCUUAUUACACGUGAACAACACGGUGGAGAUGAUUCUGAUCAUGAGACGCAAUACAUGGCUCCUGAAGAUGCUGACAGGUAUGAAUGUUUAGUUGCUCAACGUGUUUUGAGUGUGCAGGUCACACAACCAGAGCAAAAUCAGAGGCAUAAUUUGUUCCAUACAAAGGGAGUUGUGAAGGAACGUUCUGUUCGUGUCAUCAUAGAUGGAGGGGGCGGCAACAACUUGGCUAGCAUGGAGAUGGUGGCGAAGCUAUCUCUCACCACAAGACCACAUCCACAUCCUUACUACAUCCAAUGGUUCAACAACAGCGGCAAGGUUAAGGUAACACGUACUGUUCGUGUGCAUUUUAGUAUCUCUACGUAUGUUGAUUAUGUUGAUUGUGAUGUGGUACCUAUGCAAGCAUGUUCCUUAUUACUUGGUAGACCAUGGCAAUUUGAUAAAAAUUCUGUACACCAUGGUAGAAACAAUCAGUAUACUGUUGUUCAUAAGGAUAAAAAUAUGACUUUGCUUCCUAUGACUCCUGAUUCCAUUUUGAAAGAUGAUAUUAAUAGAGCUAAUAAAGCAAAACAGGAUUGUGGCAAAAGAAUUUGA
rnacentral:rRNA from 1 species